rnacentral:lncRNA from 1 species
CAGCCCUGGACGCAGCAGCCAAGCUCUUCGCUGGCUCCCGGGGGCUCUCCCGGGUUCCUCUCAUUGCAGGCUGAAGGUAAUGAGAGGCCCUAAGAUCCCAGAGGAUGCCAUAAGAGGAAAAGUCAGGGGAGUGUUGAAGACUCUGCCUCCUACAAAUAUGAUUGUUGGAGUACAAAAUGACAGUAUGAGCAAGUAAAAUG